rnacentral:rRNA from 1 species
GACGAACGCUGGCGGCGUGCCUAAUACAUGCAAGUAGGACGCAGAUGCGAACGGGUGAGUAACGCGUAGGUAACUACCUAUUAGAGGGGGAUAACUAUUGGAAACGAUAGCUAAUACCGCAUACUAGUAGAUGGACCUGCGUUGUAUUAGCUAGUAGGUAGGGUAAUGGCCUACCCAGGCAACGAUUAAUAGCCGACCUGGGAUGGUGAUCCGCCAAACUGGGGCUGAGACACUGCCCAGACUCCUACGGGAGGCAGCAGUAGGGGAACUUCGGCAAUGGGGGGAACCCUGACCGCGCAACGCCGCGGGAGUGAAGAAGGUUUUCGGGUCGUAAAGCUCUGUUGUUAAGGAAGCGGUACUUAACCAGAAAGGGACGGCUAACUACGUGCCAGCAGCCGCGGUAAUUC